rnacentral:rRNA from 1 species
UACGAAGGGGGCUAGCGUUGUUCGGAAUUACUGGGCGUAAAGCGCACGUAGGCGGACUACUAAGUCAGGGGUGAAAUCCCGGGGCUCAACCCCGGAGCUGCCUUUGAUACUGAUAGUCUCGAGUCCGGAAGAGGUGAGUGGAAUUCCGAGUGUAGAGGUGAAAUUCGUAGAUAUUCGGAGGAACACCAGUGGCGAAGGCGGCUCACUGGUCCGGUACUGACGCUGAGGUGCGAAAGCGUGGGGAGCAAACAGG